AAGGGGAAUGUGCUUUUUGCUUUUUUGUUUGUUUCUAGGGGAAAAAAAGGAAAUUCGACACAUAUUUUUAAAAAUCUCCCCCGAACAAGCACUAAAGGCUGUGAGUGUGAGCAGAGUCCGGAAACGAGCCCCCGCCCGCAGUGACACCGGGCCUUUGUCUUCUUUCCUGAAGCCCCCAUGACUGCUGACCGCGCUGAGAUAAAGGCCCGGUCAGAGCCCUGUGGAAUCCCCAGGGAGGAGGCAGCGGGGGCUGUCGCUUCCAACUGGCCGAUCUUGCCCUAACGGGGCCACAAGGCCAGGGGCUGCUCCCCCACCCCCAGGCCCAACUGAGGCACAGAUCUGUGUUUCCUGACUUUCCCUGAGUCUUCUGUCACUAAAUUUCCUGGACCCAGUGCCCACCAGCAUUACCAUUUUCCUAUUUAAUGGCUCCUGGAAGGGUGAGGGGCCAUGGCCCACAACAGACAUCGGCUGACUUGGUCCUCCAGAAUGGAAUCGUGAACAACUGUCUCUAGCGUUCGGUUCGCGGCUGCUGGGCUCUGUUGGCCAACAGGAUCCGAACCCGUGCAGAGUCUGUCGCCGCUGCGCUUUGUGCCUUCUCGCGGCCCGGACACUCCUUAAACUCUUGGCCUCAAAUUCUCUGCCUAACGCCUGUUGGUCACUGUCGGUAGAACGGAUCUGCGGAGGGGGAGGGAGAAGGUUUGUGCCCCUAUCCUACCGCUUUAUGUGAAUUAGAAAUGCGGGUCUCCACGGAGCUCACGCCUCCGCGGUGCUGCCUUUGCACUGCUGAGGCCUUGGGGUUUCCAGGAUACUCGCGGAAUCGGUUUCUCCACAGAGACACGCAGGUGAUGCGAAUGAAUACAGCUCAGAAUUCUUCCGAAGGAAGAAAAGGACGACGAACCCGGCGACCUGCAGUGUGGAGAUGGAGAGAUCCGGCAGCCACCGUUGCGCACUUCCCAGACAUACCAGGGGGGAGGAAAAGGAAAGGCGACGGACCUGAGAAUUAAGGCUCUGCAGCCUCACGUGCCAGGAGCAUUCUCCAUCUCUUCCUUCUCUCACCCCUUGUCUCCACUGAAACUGGAGCUGCCCACAGGCUGUCAGAUGAGAGAUAAAGGAGCCUGGCGGCACCCAGGC
rnacentral:lncRNA from 1 species